AUCCUACUACAGUAUCUAAUUUGGCAUAAGAGGUGGCACAUCUACAUGGCAAGAUCGAUACUGCAAUUAUAUCUCAACAGUGUGGUAUCGACACCUUGAUCGCUGCCAUGCGACAUCUGGAGGAUCGAUUGGAGAUCUUUGUUGCUUUCUCUUUGGAAAAUGGUGUUUUUAGCUACUCUCAUACUUCACCUUCUAGACCUCACCCCACUCCUAGUCAACCUUUCCAUUCUCAGCC
rnacentral:lncRNA from 1 species